rnacentral:rRNA from 1 species
GGGCCCGCACAAGCGGUGGAGCAUGUGGUUUAAUUCGAUGCAACGCGAAGAACCUUACCUACUCUUGACAUCCAGAGAAGCCUGAAGAGAUUCGGGUGUGCCUUCGGGAGCUCUGAGACAGGUGCUGCAUGGCUGUCGUCAGCUCGUGUUGUGAAAUGUUGGGUUAAGUCCCGCAACGAGCGCAACCCUUAUCCUUGUUUGCCAGCACGUAAUGGUGGGAACUCCAGGGAGACUGCCGGUGAUAAACCGGAGGAAGGUGGGGACGACGUCAAGUCAUCAUGGCCUUUAUGCCCAGGGCUGCACACGUGCUACAAUGGGACGUACAAAGGGAAGCGAACCCGCGAGGGCAAGCAAAUCUCAAAAAGCGUCUCUCAGUUCGGAUUGCAGGCUGCAACUCGCCUGCAUGAAGCUGGAAUCGCUAGUAA